AUUGAACGCUGGCGGCAGGCUUAACACAUGCAAGUCGAGCGAGCGGCGGACGGGUGAGUAAUGUCUGGGAAACUGCCUGAUGGAGGGGGAUAACUACUGGAAACGGUAGCUAAUACCGCAUACCAUCAGAUGUGCCCAUUUGGGAUUAGCUAGUAGGUGGGGUAAUGGCUCACCUAGGUGACGAUGCCUAGCUGGUCUGAGAGGAUGAACAGCCACACGGAAACGGAGACACGGUCCAGACUGCUACGAGAGGCAGCAGUGGGGAAAAGUGCACAGUGGGCGCAAGCCUGAUGCAGCCAUGCCGCGUGUGUGAAGAAGGCCUUCGGGUUGUAAAGCGCUGUCAGCGAGGAGGCGUUACUCGCAGAAGAAGCAACGGCUAACUCCGUGCCAGCAGCCGCGGUAAUUC
rnacentral:rRNA from 1 species